GGUGAAAGGAUGCUGGGCAGGGUGUGGGGUCAUACUGUGGCUCUCCUAGGGCUGCAUGUGGACUCUUCCUUCUGUGACAUUUUACGCAGCCCUACCACCAGCAUAAUUUUUCCAAUUCCACAACUUGGAGGAACCAGGAAAGGGGGGCAAUCUUUGCCUACUCCAGGCAUCCUGGCCCCCUAAUGGAGUAAGCAUCUGCAGGCAAGACUCCUGGCUGGGACCCUCUGGACUGAUCAUGGUCCACUGGGUCCAAAUUAAUCUCUUCUUUUCUCUCAGGGCCAAGGCUGACUGUCCAAAAACCAGGCCAUAAUUUCUAUCUGGUAACCAGGAGGGCCUCAGGUGGGUCCCACACAGGUGAGGGGUUCCCUGGCAGGCAGAGUGACUCAGAAGUCAGGAUCAGUCUGUGUUCAAAUUGAUUCACAAGGAGACAGACAAACACUAAGAGUUUGGAGCCGCCCUAGGCUCCUAUUGAGCCUGCAGAGACAAGCCCCCUCCAGGGUGUGCAGGAUGACAACCAAUCUCUCUGUGUUAAGAGCACACCCUUGAUGAAGCAACAGACGUUCAAGAAUCCAGCAUACAAG
rnacentral:lncRNA from 1 species